CCUACGGGUGGCUGCAGUGGGGAAUAUUGGACAAUGGGGGGGAACCCUGAUCCAGCCAUGCCGCGUGUGUGAAGAAGGCCCUCGGGUUGUAAAGCACUUUCAGUGAGGAAGAACGCCUGGUGGUUAAUACCCAUCAGGAAAGACAUCACUCACAGAAGAAGCACCGGCUAACUCCGUGCCAGCAGCCGCGGUAAUACGGAGGGUGCGAGCGUUAAUCGGAAUUACUGGGCGUAAAGCGCGCGUAGGUGGCUUGAUAAGCCGGUUGUGAAAGCCCCGGGCUCAACCUGGGAACGGCAUCCGGAACUGUCAAGCUAGAGUGCAGGAGAGGAAGGUAGAAUUCCCGGUGUAGCGGUGAAAUGCGUAGAGAUCGGGAGGAAUACCAGUGGCGAAGGCGGCCUUCUGGACUGACACUGACACUGAGGUGCGAAAGCGUGGGUAGCGAACAGGAUUAGAUACCCGUGUAGUC
rnacentral:rRNA from 1 species